GUUUGGAUAGCUCAGCUAGGGUUAGAGCAGAGGACUGAAAAUCCUCGUGUCAGAGGUUCAAAUCCUCUUCCAAACA
rnacentral:tRNA from 1 species